UGUCAUUGCCACAGUAAAUAGAUGAAACCCACUAGCAUGAGUAGGAGUUGUUUGAGCCCUGAUGUGCCUACUCAUUCAUGCUUGUUUGUCAUGCCUGCUAUUGCUUAGAGUUGAGUCAGGUCUGAUUCAUCGGGAAUGAAUCGGAGGUGUGUAAACAUGUCCUACUGUUGAGAGCUAAGUGUGUGAACACGAUUUGGUAAAGGUAGCGGUGAGAGGCCAUGUAGGAGUACAUUGUGGGUUGUCUCAUUGCAGCCGUCCUCAGGAACUGAGUUCUGUGUUUGUGAUCCAUGAACAGCUACUACCACACAUUGGGAUCCUUAAUUGACUCUCUCGACUUAUUAAUCAACCUGAUCUCUGUCCAGGAGUUGCAACUAGUUUCUGGUGUUUGUAGGUAGUGUUAGUAGUCUACCAAGUGGCACCCGGUACAGGUGGGCUUGGGACAGACUAGGCACCAUGGCACGGUGUACCAAGCAUAGAUCCACCCGUCGAGGUGGGCUUGGGAACCCUGCACACAUCGUUUGGGGCCGUGAGCGACACCCCGGCCGGAUCUCCUUGCGGAUGGAACCCGAAUAGGCGAUAAACCUGGACUAGAGACUUGUGUGGUUAGUUAGGUCGUGGCCGACUCCCUCGCCAGGCUUCCGCUUGAAGGUUGCCGAGAUACAUGAUGUGUACAUGGCGGUAAGUGGCGAGAGCGUGUGUGAAGAAGUACACCCCUGCAGGGUUAAUAUGAUCUAUUCGAAUAGCCGUGUCCGCGGUAAAGGACUUCUGGGUUGCCUGUACAGUUCAUAGACAAGUGAAAGUGGAUACUCUAAAAUGCUCAAGAUAAGCGUGAGUGCUAUGGAUGGCGCUCUCGUAGGGAGACGGGAGCGGAUCCAUAGUGGUGUAUUGAUAUGGUGAAUAUGUGGACUCGUGUGCGCCACCUCAAAAGAGUUACUUGCAGUCGUAGUUCAGGAUAGCCACCGAGUCAAAGCUGGCUUGCUGCAGUUAAACCCCACCAUCCCCUUUGUUGAUAAUGAUGCAUAUGUAGUUAGUUCUGAUGUAAGUCUUGCUGGGUAUAUUUGUACUCACGUUUGCCUAUUUUACGUUUUUGCAGAGAUUUCCUUCUCACUAGUAGUUCCGCGUGGACUUCGACGUUUAGCUUGUUACCUCAGCUACGAUCUUGUGCCCUCGGCAGGAUCUGGUAGAUAGUCAGGCUUCUCAGCCUUUUUCAUUUGUUGAUGUCUGUACCCAGACAUGUUAAGCUUCCGCUUGUGCUUUGACUUGUAUGCUCUGAGUGUUGGGUCAUGAGACCCAUGUUUGUAAUAUCUCGCUCCUCGGAGCCUAUUGAAUAAAAUACUUGAGUUGUAGAGUCAUGUUGUGAUGCCAUGUUGUAUUUGCACAUAUCGAGCAUAUUGUGUGUAUGUUAUUGAAAUGCUUGGUAUGUGUGGGAUCUGACUAUCUAGUUGUUUAUCCUUAGUAGUCUCUCUUAUCGGGAAAUGUCUCCUAGUGCUUCCACUGAGCCAUGGCAGCUUGCUACUGCUCCGGAACACUUAGGCUGGCCGGCAUGUGUCCUUCUUCGUUCCUGUGUCUGUCCCUUCGGGGAAAUGUCACGCGAUGAAUACCGGAGUCCUGUUAGCCCGCUACAGCCCGAUUCACUGGAGUCCUGCUAGCCCAGUGCUACAGCCUGGAUUCACUCGCUGAUGACCGACACGUUCGAUGCUGGGUCAUGGAUGCCUGUCCCUGUAAGUUUGUGCCACUUUGGGUUUACGACUAGCCAUGUCAGCCCGGGCUCCUUAUCAUAUGGAUGCUAGCGACACUAUCAUAUACGUGUGCCAAAAGGCGCAAAUGGUCCCGGGCAAAGGUAAGGCGACACCCGUGGGGAUACCGUGCGUGAGGCCGCAAAGCGAUAUGAGGUGUUACAUGCUAGAUCGAUGUGGCAUUGAGUCGGGGUCCUGACAGCUUUGGUAUCAGAGCUUGACUUCCUGUAGGAUUACCAAGCCAAACUGGUCAAAGUUGAGUCUAGAAAUUCUUUAGUUAUAUGUAGGGGAAUUGAUUGUGGGAUGGAACGUAAGGCUCUUUUUACUCCUUAUACCUCAUGCCCUCUAAUCCGAGUCAUCUUAUCUUUCCUACGGGGUUAAGGAACUAGGCUAUCUCUUCUUUCUAUUAGGAUCACUUGUUUCUAAUCCGUAGACUUAUAGAAUUGUUGGAUUCAAGCCUCAGUUCAGUUCCUAUUAUUUCCCUGUAUUCAUAGUUGAUCUCAGAACCUUGAUAUUAUGAUAAUCGAGUGGUUAUGCCACCAUUUUACAGGAUGUCUUAAAUCUUUUCGAGCAUUUACAGCCGUUAUGCUGUCUGAGUCAUCCCAGGUUUCUAAAUAGUCUGAUGCAUUUGCAAAUCCCUUCUUUUCAUUCCGAUGUCUUUUAGGCCAGGUUAACCACACUAAAUUGCUGAGUUGAGGUACUAUGUUGCCUCGACAUAUAUGUUGGAGCUAGUAUUAUGACCCUAGGUGUCUUAGAGGAUCACCAGGUAGUCUAGCCAUGUUUUGUGUUCCCAGCGUGAUGAUUCUGGCCAUCAUUCUCAAAAGCAUCUCGUGAUGCCACUUAGUUAGUAGGCAUUCUAUUCCGGGCUUCUUGACCCAAGAUUCACUCAACUUACCUCGUGUUGAUAGUGUUGCUCGUACCUUUAGGAUAUUAGUAACCUUUGCGAUAGUCCUCGAGGUCCGUGGUAUUUCCUUCUUCCAAAUACCAUGAACCAUUAAGGCAGAAGUUCUUUGAACCAAAAGCUCACAAUCAGAGUACUCUUGAGGGGUUCUCCAUUCAUAAUUGUGACUCUGUCAGUUCUACCUUUCUGCAUGGGUUAUCCGGAAGAAAUAUGUUGAACUCGUUCGACAUGCUAGUCUAUGCAUCCACAACUCAGAAAAUCGUAUGUUCCUUUGAGUUGUCCCUCUUUAGUUGUUUUCUGGCCCUCGUCUAUCAAUUUAUAGUAAGGAGUAGUUGGCAAUCAUGUUCAUCGAUACUUAUUAUUCUUGUGGUCCGUCAAGCCAUUCUAUUUCAGAAUGACUAGGAGAAACAAACUCUAGAACCUCAUCCAUAUCCAGGAUUGGGUCAAAGUAGUUGUAAUCCGCAAAUCAAAAUGCCAAUCCAGCUUUUGAUUCGUUCUACCUUGGAGUAUUACCAUCUUUAUAUCAAGAAUGUCAUAGGAAUUACACAUCAUCUUAUGAAUUCUUGGUGCAGUGAUACUUCUCGCCAUCAUUAUUCAUUCCUCGGUCCCCGUGUUGUUGAACCGGAAUGCCGACAAGUGAACUAUGAUGUGUGAAAUCAAUACUCCUCGCAACUUUGUUGCUUGGUAGUUAAAGGACAAUAAUUUCAUUCUUAGCGUGUUGGUUUUUGAAUCAUCAUUCUAAGAUUGAUUGUUCUACCUAGUCUUUAUUUUUUUGGUGCACUUCUCGAUCAAUGAGUUAGGAUUGUAUCAAUCCCUUGCUUAUUUGAUCAUCUCGUCUUGCCCUGAAAAGCAAGAUUGUUCUCGAGCUUAGUAGCAUAUCGGUGGUUCGUGACUCUCCGAAUGUCUUCUCGGAGGUAUCACCAGGUUGUUCCCUGACCGCUAUGUUGAACUCGUGAUCAAGUUGGUUUCUUGUAACCACCCCUUCUCCAACAAUCAGUGUCGGAUACCCCUGAGUUAGUUGGUUAAGCUGGACAACAACUUGGAGAGUUGGAAGAUAAAAGCUUGUCCUACUUAGUUCAUUUUAAGGGAUAUCUUGUAUGUGUGUUGAAGAUGAUAUGUUCAUUGAUUGGUCCCUGUGAUCAGUUGUUGGACCUAUUGUCUCAUCAAAACUUUGAUUUGAGUGUGGGCUAUCGGUAAAUCAAAUCAGAACCAACGAUAUUCGUAAUGUUGUCUUACUCGUGGUUGAUUCCUUGAGCAUACACCAUUACAUCCUUUGGUCUGACCAAUGCUAUCACCGUGUUCACACAGUUGUGGAACUCCAACUAUAUGGAAACCUGGAUGAAUUGUUGUUGAGCCCAUCAGCAACAUUGUUAUCUUCUUCGUGAUCUGUGUUGAACAUCCAGCUAGUAUUGGAAACUUUUAUAAGCGUUAUCUUCAUGACCCGUUCGUGAUGCAUAUGUUUGGAUGAAAGAAGUGAGUCCCUCUAAUUCAUGUGCAUUUGAUGCAAGUUGCCGCCAUGAGUUUGAGAAGGCUUGUUUUACCUCCUUUGGAAUCAUCCCAAGUCAGUCAUGCACGUGCAAAGUAUUCUAUGGUCUGUUAGACUGAUCAUCUUCGUUCCAUAUGAACUCCGUAGCACACUAAGCCACUGAUUGAUUUGUUCAAGGAAAAGAAGUCUAGCACGCGUAAAGACUUCGAAAUCCUUGAUGAUGGUUCCCCACCUGAACUCGGUAGUGUUUUAUUAUAAGACUACUAUGUGGUCAUGCUUGUCUGAGACGGCGUGUUCACAUGUGUGUAGCAGAACCAACUCAUGUUUUGGAGCUUGCUAUCGUAGUUCUUUUCCUGAGAAUCUCGCAACGUCAUCUCAUCGAUUUGUGUUGCAAACUUUCAUUUUUUCUAGACUUGAUGAGUCUGGAAUGUCCUGACCCCAACCAGAUCUGAAUCUCAGGCAGAUAUGAUGGUUGGAACAAUUCCCAAGAACUACUAUAUUGGUCUCUCUGUAACCCGGUAAAGUGGAUGUCGUGGCCAACACAUCCAGCCAGAAGACCUAUUGUUGUAGUAUCUUGAUUGAGGAAGUUGGCCACCUCCCCAUAAGGACUUCGUAGGGUUUACUCCCUAGUUGUGCCUUAUGAUUUUUGUGUUCCCGAAGUCCGACCUUUUACUUGAUGUUGUAGAUAUCAAACCAUAUCUAUGAAUGGGAUACACUAGCACAUCAAGGAGAACAUUAGAAGCGGAGUGCUAAAUGUCUCUCGGUCGGUCAUCCAGAUUUUGUUUCCUUGGCCUCGCUAAGGUGAAAUCUAAGAAAGUGUUAUCUUUCUUUGCAUCUGCAUCGUCCAUCGCUGUUCAUCAUGGUAGUACGUUGUGUUGCCAGGAUCCUUGACACGGAUAUUGGUAAAACCUUGAUGAAUAUGGAAAUGCUCAAGUUCUUGAGAGCACGCGCAAGCUCUAGGUGUUAUCAUCGGCACUAACUAGGAUUGCUCUUAGUUUCCUCGGUUAUGCUAUAGCUUUUCAAACAGUGGACUCACUCUCUACUUUCGAGCUUCUCCCCAGUUACUAAAAUCAUCCCUUGUGUUGUUUUCAACAAGGUAAUCCACAUCAUCCAUUCUAAUCUGGGUAUGCCAUUCUACCGAACCCCUCCAAAUGGUCGCUCAAGAAUUGCCUUAGCCUGGUAUGGAGAGUUUCAAUGGUCCUUUCCGAUAGAGUUUCCUUCUGACUUCAUCGAGUUGGAUGAAGAUCUCGAAAGUAAAGACGUCAAGAUCAAUAUGAAGCAAUGAAUCAACAUCUUCGAGAAGGGCAAUUGGAUCAUGAAGAUCGUGUUAGCUUUGUGUCCCCUCUGUCUACUUACCUUACGUCUUGAAUCUCGGGAUGAGAUUCUUGUUUAGUAGGGGUGAGCUGUCACAUCCCUAGUUCUGGUCUGCACUAGGCUAGCCCUUCCAUGUGAGCAUCAUGUUUAAAUUCAAAUGAAACUUGAAUUGAGGAAUUUUCAAAAGCCUCAGAAAACCUCUAAAAAUAACCAACAUUUAAAAACUCAUCAAAUGAGUCCAAGAAAAUGUUCCUGUUAUUCUGUGAAAAUAUUGGCGUGAGGUAAAAUUCAAACCAAUAUUUUCAGAGUCACAGAAAUAAUUUAUUUUGGGUCUUUGAUUUAAAUCAAUAAUAUAUUUGGGUUGGAAUUAUUUCUGCUAUAUAAGAAAUAAUGUUCAAAUAUUUUGUAAGUUUGCAUGUGACCUUGGACUAGCUCUCUGAGCUCACAUAAAAAUUUACAGAAAGUUUUAAAAUGGUUUAGUUUCCAAACUAAACCAAAACAAAAUAACAGAAAUAGAAAAAACUAAAAUAAAAGAGAGAGAGAGAGACUUACCUGGAACUUACCUGGGAUCCACCAAAGCCCACCUGGCCGGCCCGGUUGGCCAGCCCAGCCCACCUCCUCGCGCGUCGUCUUCCCCAUGCCUUCUGGCAUCGUGCGUGGCGCGCGCACAGCCGAGCCGCGGCCACCUCCUGCUUCCACCUCCUCCUGCCUCCCUGCUCGCUUCCUCGACCCCAGGGAGAUGCCACGCGGCCCCCUCGACGCUCUCUCACUCUCCCCAUGCUCAUCCCCUCCUCUGUCCCCCUUCCCCUCUCUUCCCCGAGCGCCGCCAUCGCCGCCGCUUGCCAUAGCCGUGCCCGCCGAGCUCCCCUCACCUCGCUGACCCGCCCAGGAGAACCGCAGGGUCGUCUUCAUCAUCUACGCAGAGCCACGCGACGCCUGCCGCCCUGCAUCGCCGGCUACCUCGCCUUCUUCCCCCUCGGACGCCAAGAUCGCCACGGCCGCGCCGUCUCCUCCGAGCCUUCCCCGAGCCUGCUUUAACGCCCCCUGCACUCCCCGUGAGCUUAUCUUCCUCCUCCCCCCUUCCCGUUCUCGCUCUCAAGCACCGCCGCGACCUCACCGAGCUCGACCGCGCCCGCCGCCGCCACCGCACGUCGCCGUCAUGGCCAGAGCCAUAGUGGCUCGAAGCCGGGCACACCACCGUGCUCCACACCUCACUAGGAGCACGUAACACACACCAAAGCCUCCCCUAGCGCCCUGCAUCGCCUAGCCCGCCGUUGGCCGAACUCUGGUCGCCGCCGUCGUCGUGGUUGCCAUCGCCUCCGGCCACCCCAGCUCUUCCCACUUGCCCUGCUAGAUGUGCGCGAGCCCCAGCUAUGCAUAGGACCAAACCCCGGUCGAUUUGGUCGACCGUGGGCAAAACCCGAGCCAACCCAGUGUGCCUCCGCCGCGUUUCGGUCGCCGCCGGCGUAACUCCGGCGAUGGUGACGUGGCCGCUUAGUUUAGGUUAACGACGCACUUAGUCAACACUUAGUUACACUGACAGCCGGGCCCCACUGCCUAAUUAAACUUAUAUUAGUUUCUGCUUAGUAUUAACUAAUCACAACGGCCCCACGCGUCAGUGUUGACCAAGCUGACGUGGCCGUUGACUGGGUCCACAUGUCAGCGACACUAAUCAGCCCCAGUCACUGACCAGUGGACCCCACUGGUCAGGUUUGACCUGAACCCGCCCUGUUGACCUGAUGACGUUAGGGUGAUGUCAUGCUGACGCAAUAAAUGAUUUUCUGGAUUUAAAAUAAAUCAGAAAAUCCAGAAAAUACCACAAACUUCUAAAAAUGAUAGAAAUUCAACCGUAACUCCAAAUGAAAUAAAUUAUAUAUGAAAAAUGAUCAGAAAAAUCCAAUCUAUCCAUCUGUACCAUUUUCAUGCAUGUUAGAACAACUUAUGGCUACUGUUUAGGCCAAAUCAUAUAAAUGACAUUUAAACCCUCACAUAUGGGGUUUGAAUUUGAACCUAGGGUUCAAACCAACUCCAUUUAACAUGUUGCUAGUUGCAUUAGCUCAAAACACAUUCAUAUUGCCAUGUCAUAGCAUGCAUCAUAUUGUGCAUUGCAUUGAUUGUGUUCUUCCUUGUUUGCCGGUGUUUGUCCCCUCUUGAUAGACGUGGUUCCGACGAUGAGUUCGAUGACACCAAUGAAGAAUUAUAUUAUCUUCAGAAGUGCCAGGCAACCAAAACCCCCUUGCUCAUUCCGAUACAAUCCUACUCUCUCGCUCCUGCUCUCUUUUACUGCUUUAGGACAACAACGAUUCAUCUGUUACUUGCUGCGGUAGCUGAACCCCUUUAUCCUCUGCAUGACCUGUCAUUGCCACAUUAUAUAGAUGAAACCCACUAGCAUGAGUAGGAGUUGUUUGAGCCCUGAUGUGCCUACUCAUUCAUGCUUGUUUGUCAUGCCUGCUAUUGCUUAGAGUUGAGUCAGGUCUGAUUCAUCGGGAAUGAAUCGGAGGUGUGUAAACAUGUCCUACUGUUGAGAGCUAAGUGUGUGAACACGAUUUGGUAAAGGUAGCGGUGAGAGGCCAUGUAGGAGUACAUGGUGGGUUGUCUCAUUGCAGCCGUCCUGAGGAACUGAGUUCUGUGUUUGUGAUCCAUGAACAGCUACUACCACACAUUGGGAUCCUUAAUUGACU
rnacentral:lncRNA from 1 species